UAAUUCUCCAAACAAAGGGUGGUUAAAAUACACCACGGGCACCAAAAUCCUACGAAAAUCUCCAUCUUUCUGACCCACGUACACGGCCAUAUGCCCUUUUGGAACGGGCGCCGGCUUUUCUUGAAUCGGUUCUUGCCCAACCCGCAGGUAGCCCCUGCCCGAGCCUAGACCACUAUUGCUAGAAAGUAUAGCCUUGGCUUUUGUCCUGAGUUUGUGGGUCCAGCUUACGAGCUUUGAAAUACGUUUGGCCUGGCAGGUUUCAGGCGAAUUCAGAAGACGGUAUCCACCUGAUCUGCAACGCCGUCGGAAAACACGCCGGAAGAGUGUGGUGAUCCGGUGUUUGAGCCAGAAUCCUCGGAUCUUACCCAUGCCUUUUUUUCAAGAAAAUGGAGGAAUUUAUAA
rnacentral:lncRNA from 1 species